rnacentral:rRNA from 1 species
UACGUAGGGGGCUAGCGUUGUCCGGAUUUAUUGGGCGUAAAGAGCGUGUAGGCGGCCAGGUAGGUCUGGUGUGAAAACUCGAGGCUUAACCUCGAGAUGUCAUCGGAAACCAUUUGGCUAGAGUCCGGAAGAGGAGAGUGGAAUUCCCAGUGUAGCGGUGAAAUGCGUAGAUAUUGGGAGGAACACCAGUGGCGAAGGCGGCUCACUGGACCGGAACUGACGCUGAGGCGCGAAAGCGUGGGGAGCAAACAGG